AUGGUUCAUCAGGAUCAGGGAAAGCUGGUGCAGAUGGUGGCCGUGGACGUUGGACUUGUGGCGCCGCCGAUCAGGUACGUGCUAAGCGAGGAGAACAGGCCGACCACCGUUGCACAGCAAGCCAAGCUGGUCAUCCCCAUCGUGGACGUGAGCCGUCUGGCCAUGCCCGAUGACGUUGAGGAGGCGGCCAAGCUUCGGUCUGUGCUCCAUUCAUGGGGCCUCUUUGUGGUUACCGGCCAUGGCAUGCCAAAGGAGUUCCUCGACGAGAUCCUCGAGGCGACAAGGAAGUUCUUCCACCUGCCGCUGGAGGAGAAGCAGAAGUGCGGCAACGUGAUCGACGGCGUCAAAUUCCAGAACGAAGGGUACGGCAUCGACCGCAUCGACUCCCACGAGCAGAUCCUCGACUGGUGUGACCGGCUCUGGCUCCAGCUCCAGCCGGAGGACGAGAGGCGGCUCCAGUUCUGGCCGCAGAAUCUAAGGGAUCUCCUACACGAGUACACCUUAGAGAGUGGGAGAGUGACCAUGGAUGUGCUGAAGGCCAUGGCAAAGCUUCUGAACCAGGAGGAGGGCUUCUUCAUCAACAUGGUGGGUGAGAGGUUCAAGUCAUACUCGAGGUUCACCUACUACCCUCCCUGCCCACGCCCGGACCUCGUGAACGGGCUGAAGCCGCACACCGACAACUCUGUCAUCACACUGCUCCUCAUGGACAAGGACGUCGGCGGCUUCCAGGUGCUUAAGGACGGCCACUGGGUUGAUGUUCCCGUGCUCAGUAAUGACCUGUUGGUCGUUGUCGGCGAGGGCAUGGAGAUCAUCAGCAAUGCAAUCUUCAAGGCGCCGUGGCGCCGUGUGGUGACGAGCGCCGACAAGGAGAGGCUGUCACUGGCGAUGUUCUACCAGCCGGAGCCCGAGAGGAUCAUAGGGCCGCCGGGGGUGCUAGUCCACGAGAAGCGCCCGGCGAUGUUCAAGAACUGCUUGGUCCAGACAUUGGCCGAUGGAUACUGGGAUGCAUUUGCAGCAGGAGAUCGCACCGUUGACUUCCUCAAUGUCAGGAUCAAUGCAGUGGCCGACGCUGAGCACGAGUGCAUGAUGUUCCUCUCUCACUCCCACAAGUGUAGUGUGAAUACGAGUUGA
rnacentral:rRNA from 1 species